rnacentral:lncRNA from 1 species
CUUUAAAAGUCUGUACCCAUUAGCAGUCCCUCCAUAUUCUCCUCUCCUCCACUCCCUGACAACUAGCAAUUGUGUUUCAACAGAAAGGUGAGAGGGAGGGAAGUUAGCCCAGGUGUUUGGGAACUGGGCACAGUAGUGGGUGAAUAAAGCUGAUAAGAUGAAAGUACUGAAAUGUAGAGAAGCUGUGAGAGGAUUGUAAUAGGGUCAGCAAGGUAGUAUCCAGGAUAGACUUGGGGGCAGAUUGGGUGGGAUCCUGUAAUGAGAAGAGGUAAGGUGCUGUACUGAAAGAUACUGGGGUUUGAGGGCAGUGGAGAGGGACCCUGCCCUUGGGGCAGAUGAAUUGAAGGCUCAAGAGAGGAACUGGCUGUGGAAUUGAAGAGGAUCUAUAGGAAUAAGUGAUUGAUUGCUGCUGAGCAUAUGAAAUUUAUGAAUAAUGUAGAUUUCUAGAAUGCUGACUCUGCUUUGUAGUGUUUAUCUUAGAUAAUUGUCUCCACAACUUGGCCUGGGGAAUUGUAAAUUCUCAUCCUGCAGAUGAAGAAACAGUCUUUUAAUGGUUAGGUGACUUCCUGAAACUCAUCAGGUUAGUAAAUAGGGAAAAAUGAGUGGAGAUUAGAGAAUAAUUGAUGCACUUGGCUUAAGUGGCAGACCAUUGAGGUCGGACAAGGUUACAAGAAGGUGUUUCAAUUGUUAAAUACACUAAGAAAUCUAUAUUAGUAUGAUAGGCCAAGGACUUUGUUUUUGUACUUAAUAAAUAUGGAAAAUUUCACACAAUGGGGUCAUAUGGUAAACCCCUUUGUACCUUCUCCAGCUCUAACAGUAACUCGGGUUAAUUUAGUUUCGUCUAUGGCUCCACCCAGUCCUAUUCUCACUCCAUUUCAUUUGUAAAUAUUUGCGUAUAUUGUCUAUAGAAGAUUGAGUCCCUCUCUUUUUCUUUUCUGCCACGCCCACAGCCUGGGGAAGUUCCUGGAUCAGAGAUGGAACCUGUGCCAUAGCAGCAACCCAAGUUGCUGCAGUGACGCCAGACCCUAAACUAGCCGCACCACCAGGGAAUUCUGAGUCAUCCUCUUUUUAAUAUACCCGAAAUAUAAUGAUCGCACCUAAAAAAUUAAUAAGAUCUUAAUAUGUAGAAGUACUUUUUAAAAAAAUGUGGUACUCAUUUGAUAUAAAGGGAAUAAACAGCGCAAACACUUUAAUGUUUGAUUCUCUGAAAAAUACAGUAUUAAUUGUUGCCU